rnacentral:rRNA from 1 species
GGCUGCCUACGGGACGCAGCAGUGAGGAAUAUUGGUCAAUGGGCUUACGCCUGAACCAGCCAAGUCGCGUGAGGGAAGACUGCUCUAUGGGUUGUAAACCUCUUUUGUCAGGGAGCAACGCCGGCUACGUGUAGCCGGACUGAGAGUACCUGAAGAAAAAGCAUCGGCUAACUCCGUGCCAGCAGCCGCGGUAAUACGGAGGAUGCGAGCGUUAUCCGGAUUUAUUGGGUUUAAAGGGCGCGUAGGCGGAAUGCCAAGUCAGCGGUAAAAUCGCGGGGCUCAACCUCGCUCCGCCGUUGAACCUG